rnacentral:lncRNA from 1 species
GUAAACGAAUUCAUAUUCAACUCAAUUCGUUAUAAUAUAAAUAAAUAGUAAACGAAUCUAGAUUCGAUUCAUUUAUUAAUUCUACUAAGCGAAUUAAAUGAAAUGAACCAAAUAUUCAUUUAAUAAGUGAAUCGAAUCCAAAUUAGCAGAAAUUUUACCCAAUUUAUUUACGGUUCGAUUCGAAUUUGAUUUUUUAUUUGUUUUGCUGCCCCUAUAAUGAAGAUUUACUGGUUUUGACUUGUUUUUGCAUUAUCUUUUUUUAAUUUAGCUUUUGAUGAUUGCUUUUUAUUGGACCUUACUUAACAUGUAUUUAAGAAGUAAGGUUCAUUUUGUCCCAUCUUAUUCGCUGUACUCUCUUUCUUUUAUUUAAUAAAGGCUUACUCGUUUUGCCAUGGUUUACCGAAUACCAAAAUAUUCUUUUUUCAUUAACCUUUUAACAAAAUUGACAAAAUAAGAUAUUAAAAUUUAUAAAUAACCCAAGUGGCGAAAAAAUUAUGCGACCAAAUAUUAAGUGUUAUUCCCCCUUGAAAACACCUGUAGUAAGUGCAAAAAUUGAUAACUACUUACUUUUCGGUAAGCUUGGGAAUGUUUUGGACAUCAUUUUUUAGCACUAAUAUGUAUGCUAUAAUAAAAAAAAAUAUACUGCAGGCAAGUAUCCUAGAUCAAGCCUAUUAUAAUACAAUUCAGAUUUCAUCCUCUUCUUUUCCUACAUCAUCUUAUAAUGGAUAAUUCAAAAUGUCAUCUAUUAAACAACUUAUUAGAAACUCAAGACAACCGUUGGAUCAGCUGAAACGAUACAUAUAUAUUAACAUUUUUUUAGUGGUUUUACCUCUAAUAGUUAUCUAGGCUACUGAAAAUCGGAUGUAAAUGAAAACUUCAAGAGUACACAAGCUUUGAAUGCAAAUUAACAAUUCUUCAGGGAUUUGAUUGGAUUACAUAGCCUAGCCAGCCCUUUAAUAAGUCCGCCCGUCAUUGUCAUUUGUCAAUGACAUGCUUAUAAAGUGAAACACAGAAAUUUUUCGAAGCCAAACAUGUGAAGUCAAAACUAAUAUUCCAAAUGAUCGAUGCUGGUGCCUGGUACGUACGUGCAGUGCCAUAAUAAUUUUAUUUUCACAGCAACGUUGUAUUAAAGCUACAACACCUAAGCCUCAAAACAUGAUUCUAAAUUUUUAAUUUCAUAUAAAAUAUUUAUAGGUGAAUAUAUCACAUUAUAAAUAAGAGAUGAAUGU